AGGUAGAAUGGCCGAGUGUUAGGCGNCAGGCUGUAAUCCUGCUCACAUGGGUUCAAUCCUGUUUCUUC
rnacentral:tRNA from 1 species